rnacentral:lncRNA from 1 species
UUAUCUGAAAGGUAACAAGGGUCCAUAAUCAGAAUUAUCAUUCUCACAACUUAAGGUACAUUGAUUAACCAUCUUGUUUUAGCAAUUACUAUUGAAGAUUUCCAUAAAAAAUGACAACCUGCAAAUGAUUAUCAGAAUAGCAUUCUCACUACAUCAUGGUCAUUGUGCACAUGAUUAACCAUGUCGUUUUAGGGACUAAUUUUACGAACUCGCAUUGAUGAUUACCAUCAAAAGGGUCAUCCCUCAAAUUAUCAUUACCCGAAAGGCAACAAGGGUCCAUAAUGAGAAUUAGCCAUCUCACAACUUUAGGUUCAUUGGUCACAUGACUAACCAUUUCGCUUUAGGGACUUAUUUUAUGGAUUCGCAUUAAUGAUUUCCGUCAGAAGGGUCAGACCUCAAAUUAUCAUCAGUCGAAAGCCAACAAGGGUCCAUAAUCUGAAUUUGCAAUCUCACAACUUUUGGUAUCAUUGUUCACAUGAUUAACCAUCAUAAUUUAGGGACUCGCAUGGAUAAUAUCUGUCAAAAGGGUCAUCUCUCAAAUUUUUAUUCAAAUGGCAACAAGGGUCCAUAAAUAGUAUUAGCAUUAUUGCGACUUUAGGUUCAUUGUUUAAAAGAUUAACUAUUUAAUUUUAGAGAUUCACAUUGAUGAUUUCCAUCAAAAGGGUCUGCCCUCAAAUUAUCAUCAGUCGAAAGCCAACAAGGGUCCAUAAUCUGAAUUUGCAAUCUCACAACUUUUGGUAUCAUUGUUCACAUGAUUAACCAUCAUAAUUUAGAGGCUCGCAAUGAUGAUUUCCGUCAAAAGGGUCAUCACUCAAAUUAUUUUAAAUAGGCAACAAGGGUAAAUAAUCAAAAUUAGCAAUCUAACGACCUUAGGAUCAUUGUUCACAUGAUUAACCAUUUCGCUUUAAGGACGUGUUUUAUGGACUCACCAUAAUGAUUUCCGUCAAAAGGGUCAUCUCUCAAAUUAUUAUUCAAAAGGCAACAAGGGUCCAUAAUGAGAAUUAGACAUCAUUAAUGAUUUGGGUCAAUGUUCACAUGAUUAACCAUUUCGCUUUAAGGACGUGUUUUAUGGACUCACAUUAAUGAUUUCCAUCAAAAGGGCCAGACCUCAAAUUAUCAUCAUUCAAAAACAAACAACGGUCCAUAAUAAGUAUUCUCAUUCUCACGACUUUUGGUAUCAUUGUUCACAAGAUUAACCAUCAUGAUUUAGGGACUUAUUUUAGGGACUCGCAUUGAUAAUAUCCGUCAAAAGGAUCAUCUCUCAAAUUAUUAUUCAAAAGGCAACAAGGGUCCAUAAUCAGAGAUAGCAUUCUUGGGACUUUAGGGUCUUAGUGUUCACUUCAUUAAGCAUCUUGUUUUAGGGACUCGCAUUGAUGAUCUCCAUAAAAAGUGUCCGCCCUCAAAUUAUCAUUGUUUGAAAGGCAGCAAGGGUCAUAAACUCAUAAUCUAAAUGUGCAAUCUCACGACUUUGGUAUAAUUGUUCAUAUGAUUAACCUUCAGAAUUUAGGGACUAAAUUUAGGGGCUCGCAAUGAUGAUUUCCGUCAAAAGGGUCAUCUCACAAAUUGCUAUUAAAAAUGCAACAAGGGUCAAUAAUUAGAAUAAGCAAUCUAAUGGCUUUAGGGUCAUUGUUCAAAUGAUUCACCAUCUCGUUUUCGGGACUUGUUUAGGGACUCGCAUUGAUGAUUUCCUUCAAAAGGGUCAACCCAAAAUUAUUAUUAAUCGAAAGGCAACAAGGAUCCAUAAUCAGAAUUAGCAUUCUUAUGACUUUAAGGUCAGGGUUUACAUGAUUAACAAUCUCGUUUGAGAGACUUAUUUACUGAUGAUUUCCAUCAAAACAGUCAACCCUGAAAUUAUUAUUAUCCGAAAGCCAACAAUGGUCCAUAAUCUAAAAUAGCAUUCCCUUAACUUUAAGGUCAUUGUUCACAUGAUUAGCCAUCUUAUUUAAGGGGCUCGUUUGAGGGACUCGUGAUAAUGAUUUCCAUCAAAACUGUUAGCCCUCAAAUUAUCAUUAUCUGAAAGGCAACUAGGGUCCAUAAUGAGAAUUAGUCAUCCCACGACUUUAGGGUCAUUGUUCACGUCAUUAACCAUCGCGUCAUAGGGAUCCGAUUUAUGGACUCACAUUCAUGAUUUCCGUCAAAAGGGUCGGGACUCAAAUUAUCAUUUUUGAAAUGACAACUAGGGUUUAAGAUCAAAAUAAGCAUUCCACGACUUUAGGGUCAUUUUUCACAUGUUUAACCUUCUCGUCUAAGCUACUCGCAUUGAUAAUUUUCAGCAAAAGGGUCAGCCCUUAAAUUAUCAAUACAGAAAAGUCUAUUGAUUUACAAGAUAUGAUAUAAUAAGGAAUGGACUAACC